GUGUCAGCCGCCGCGGUAAUACGGAGGAUCCGAGCGUUAUCCGGAUUUAUUGGGUUUAAAGGGUGCGCAGGCGGGAUGUUAAGUCGGCGGUGAAAUUUUGCAGCUCAACUGUAAAAGUGCCUUCGAUACUGGCUUUCUUGAGUGUGGAUGAAGUAGGCGGAAUUUGUUGUGUAGCGGUGAAAUGCUUAGAUAUCACGAGGAACUCCGAUUGCGCAGGCAGCUUACUAAACCACUACUGACGCUCAUGCACGAAGGCGUGGGGAUCAAACAGGAUUAGAUACCCUGGUAGUCCACGCAGUAAACGAUGAUUACUAGUUGUUUGCGAUACAAUGUAAGCGACUGAGCGAAAGCGUUAAGUAAUCCACCUGGGGAGUACGUUCGCAAGAAUGAAACUUAAAGGAAUUGGCGG
rnacentral:rRNA from 1 species